ACAUGCCUACAACAUAGUGUUAAUGCAUUGGAUCCCAUUAGAACUCCAUAGUUAAGCACACUCAAGUUAGAGUAGUAUUGGGAUGGGUGACUGCCCAGGAAGUCCUAGUGUUUUACAUGCC
rnacentral:rRNA from 1 species